rnacentral:rRNA from 1 species
AGAGUUUGAUCCUGGCUCAGGAUGAACGCUAGCGGCAGGCCUAAUACAUGCAAGUCGAACGGUAACAUGAGAGCUUGCUCUUGAUGACGAGUGGCGCACGGGUGCGUAACGCGUAUGCAACCUACCCUUUACUGGGGGAUAGCCCGGAGAAAUCCGGAUUAAUACCCCAUGGUACUGUAAUGUAGCAUUACAUAGCAGUUAAAGAUUUAUUGGUAAAGGAUGGGCAUGCGUGACAUUAGUUAGUUGGUAAGGUAACGGCUUACCAAGACGAUGAUGUCUAGGGGUUCUGAGAGGAAGGUCCCCCACACUGGAACUGAGACACGGUCCAGACUCCUACGGGAGGCAGCAGUGGGGAAUAUUGGACAAUGGGGGCAACCCUGAUCCAGCCAUGCCGCGUGAGUGAAGAAGGCCCUAGGGUUGUAAAGCUCUUUCGCCAGGGAAGAUAGUGACGGUACCUGGUAAAGAAGUCCCGCUAACU